rnacentral:rRNA from 1 species
GAUGAACGCUGGCGGCGUGCCUAAUACAUGCAAGUCGAGCGAACGGACGAGAAGCUUGCUUCUCUGAUGUUAGCGGCGGACGGGUGAGUAACACGUGGAUAACCUACCUAUAAGACUGGGAUAACUUCGGGAAACCGGAGCCAAUACCGGAUAAUGUUUUGAACCGCAUGGUUCAAAAGUGAAAGACGGUCUUGCUGUCACUUAUAGAUGGAUCCGCGCUGCAUUAGCUAGUUGGUAAGGUAACGGCUUACCAAGGCAACGAUGCAUAGCCGACCUGAGAGGGUGAUCGGCCACACUGGAACUGAGACACGGUCCAGACUCCUACGGGAGGCAGCAGUAGGGAAUCUUCCGCAAUGGGCGAAAGCCUGACGGAGCAACGCCGCGUGAGUGAUGAAGGUCUUCGGAUCGUAAAACUCUGUUAUUAGGGAAGAACAUAUGUGUAAGUAACUGUGCACAUCUUGACGGUACCUAAUCAGAAAGCCACGGCUAACUACGUGCCAGCAGCCGCGGUAAUACGUAGGUGGCAAGCGUUAUCCGGAAUUAUUGGGCGUAAAGCGCGCGUAGGCGGUUUUUUAGUCUGAUGUGAAAGCCCACGGCUCAACCGUGGAGGGUCAUUGGAAACUGGAAAACUUGAGUGCAGAAGAGGAAAGUGGAAUUCCAUGUGUAGCGGUGAAAUGCGCAGAGAUAUGGAGGAACACCAGUGGCGAAGGCGACUUUCUGGUCUGUAACUGACGCUGAUGUGCGAAAGCGUGGGGAUCAAACAGGAUUAGAUACCCUGGUAGUCCACGCCGUAAACGAUGAGUGCUAAGUGUUAGGGGGUUUCCGCCCCUUAGUGCUGCAGCUAACGCAUUAAGCACUCCGCCUGGGGAGUACGACCGCAAGGUUGAAACUCAAAGGAAUUGACGGGGACCCGCACAAGCGGUGGAGCAUGUGGUUUAAUUCGAAGCAACGCGAAGAACCUUACCAAAUCUUGACAUCCUUUGACAACUCUAGAGAUAGAGCCUUCCCCUUCGGGGGACAAAGUGACAGGUGGUGCAUGGUUGUCGUCAGCUCGUGUCGUGAGAUGUUGGGUUAAGUCCCGCAACGAGCGCAACCCUUAAGCUUAGUUGCCAUCAUUAAGUUGGGCACUCUAAGUUGGCUGCCGGUGACAAACCGGAGGAAGGUGGGGAUGACGUCAAAUCAUCAUGCCCCUUAUGAUUUGGGCUACACACGUGCUACAAUGGACAAUACAAAGGGCAGCGAAACCGCGAGGUCAAGCAAAUCCCAUAAAGUUGUUCUCAGUUCGGAUUGUAGUCUGCAACUCGACUACAUGAAGCUGGAAUCGCUAGUAAUCGUAGAUCAGCAUGCUACGGUGAAUACGUUCCCGGGUCU